rnacentral:lncRNA from 1 species
UCUUAUACGGUCUUGGUAACAAGACAUGUUAGAGGAUAACCUGUCAGUUAUGUUGGCAACAACAUAGGUACCAAGGGUGGGGGACGAAUAUAACCAUUUUCCUGCUCGUUGGAACGAGGCGGACCAAUAGGCAAAGUUCUCGUCCACCGGCGGCUACCGGAAUGUUAUCCAUAAUAGUAACAGGGUCUUACUGACAGAGUUGUAUACCGAGGUUUUUACCUAAGCAGGGAAUCAACGCUGCUUACAUAAGUUAUGCCACAAGAAAGGUCAAACAGACCAAUGGGAAGGAAAAUGUGUUCACACACACAAGUAUUAAAGUAUACGAUUCCCGAGGAAAAAUAGGGUAUGGUAUACAU